rnacentral:tRNA from 1 species
GAGGGUGUAGCUUACAGGUAAAGUGCAUGCUUAGCAUACAUGAAGUCCUGGAUUCAAUCCCCAGUACCUCCA